rnacentral:rRNA from 1 species
GGAUGAAUAUUGGUCAAUGGGCGCGAGCCUGAACCAGCCAAGUAGCGUGAAGGAUGACUGCCCUAUGGGUUGUAAACUUCUUUUAUAGGGGAAUAAAGUUGGCCACGUGUGGCCUUUUGUAUGUACCUUAUGAAUAAGGAUCGGCUAACUCCGUGCCAGCAGCCGCGGUAAUACGGAGGAUCCGAGCGUUAUCCGGAUUUAUUGGGUUUAAAGGGAGCGUAGGCGGGGGCUUAAGUCAGUUGUGAAAGUUUGCGGCUCAACCGUAAAAUUGCAGUUGAUACUGGGUCCCUUGAGUGCGGCAGAGGCAGGCGGAAUUCGUGGUGUAGCGGUGAAAUGCUUAGAUAUCACGAAGAACUCCGAUUGCGAAGGCAGCUCACUAGACUGCAACUGACACUGAUGCUCGAAAGUGUGGGUAUCAAACAGGAUUAGAUACC